UACGUAGGGGGCGAGCGUUGUCCGGAGUUACUGGGCGUAAAGCGCUUGUAGGCGGUCCACCAAGUUUGGGGUGACAGUUGCCGACUUAAUCGGCAAAGUGCCUCAAAGACUGGCGGACUUGAGGGCCACAGAGGGACAUGGAACUCCAGGUGUAGUGGUGAAAUGCGUAGAUAUCUGGAAGAACACCAAAGGCGAAGGCAGUGUCCUGGGUGGUCGCUGACGCUGAGAGGCGAAAGCCAGGGGAGCGGAACGG
rnacentral:rRNA from 1 species